CGUCAAGUUAAAUCUGGAGGUCUUAAUGGUCGCCCUGAAAAACUCCCUGAUGUCUGCUAUUCAUGGUGGGUUCUUUCUAGCUUGAUCAUGAUUGACAGGGUCCACUGGAUUAAUAAGGAAAAGCUGAUUAAGUUCAUCUUAGACUGCCAGGAUACAGAAAAUGGAGGAAUUUCAGAUAGACCAGAUGAUGCUGUUGAUGUCUAUCACACAUACUUUGGAAUAGCAGGACUUUCACUUCUUGAAUAUCCAUCAUUGAAAGCCAUAGAUCCAGCG
rnacentral:misc_RNA from 1 species